CGAAGGUUGACCCACCCAUUCAGCAAUCAGUUCAGAAUGGGCCUGGUGAUACUAAGAGCAGUUUCUUCUGAACAGGGAUACAGGUGUGGUCCAGCAGGUCUCAACCACUACAGGCUGCCUGAAGAAAAUUACAGGAGGCGAGAGAGACAAGACCAGUCACCCAUCACAAAUAAAAGAAAGCAACAGUGACUGGUCUUUACUUACAAGUUACUGCGAAGGCAAAGUUUCACACUGGAUUACUGCACAGAUCUGGAAUAAAUGCACACAAAGAUUCAAGAAAGCGCUCACCAAAUGAUGUUGCCAUCCACUCUCGUGUUUGGCAAAUAUCUCUUGUGUAUUAAAUUGAAGAGCUGUUAAUGGAUGCCAGAUUUCAUUGAGUUCCAAAUUCCACAUGUAAGGAUAAAAAUUGAAGACAGCCUCAAAGUGGAAAACAC